UUUUNCACACUGUUAAGUAAGCCAGGUUC
rnacentral:piRNA from 1 species